GAUGAAGAACGCAGUGAAAUGCGAUACGUAAUGUGAAUUGCAGAAUUCAGUGAAUCAUCGAGUCUUUGAACGCACAUUGCGCCCCUUGGUAUUCCGAGGGGCAUGCCUGUUCGAGCGUCAUAUUAACCACUCCCGCUUGCGGGGUCUUGGGCUUCGCCUCCGGGCGGGCCUUAAAAUCAGUGGCGGUGCCGUCGGGCUCUACGCGUAGUAAAUUUUCUCGCGAUAGGGUCCCGGUGGAUGCUUGCCAACAACCCCCAACUUCUUAAGGUUGACCUCGGAUCAGGUAGGGAUACCCGCUGAACUUAAGCAUAUCAAUAAGCGGAGGA
rnacentral:misc_RNA from 1 species